rnacentral:rRNA from 1 species
GACGAACGCUGGCGGCGUGCCUAAUACAUGCAAGUAGAACGCACAGUUUAUACCGUAGCUUGCUACACCAUAGACUGUGAGUUGCGAACGGGUGAGUAACGCGUAGGUAACCUGCCUGGUAGCGGGGGAUAACUAUUGGAAACGAUAGCUAAUACCGCAUAAUAUUAAUUAUUGCAUGAUAAUUAAUUGAAAGGUGCAAUUGCACCACUACCAGAUGGACCUGCGUUGUAUUAGCUAGUAGGUGAGGUAACGGCUCACCUAGGCGACGAUACAUAGCCGACCGGAGAGGGUGGUCGGCCACACUGGGACUGAGACACGGCCCAGAGUCCUACGGGAAGCAGCAGUAGGGAAUCUUCGGCAAUGGGCGAAAGUCUGACCGAGCAACGCCGCGGGAGUGAGGAAGGAUUUCGGAUCGUAAAGCUCUGUUGUAAGAGAAGAACGGGUGUGAGAGUGGAAAGUUCACACUGUGACGGUAUCUGACCAGAAAGGGACGGCUAACUACGUG